rnacentral:rRNA from 1 species
GAGCAAACAGGAUUAGAUACCCUGGUAGUCCACGCCGUAAACGAUGAGUGCUAGGUGUUGGGUCCUUUCCGGGACUCAGUGCCGCAGCUAACGCAUUAAGCACUCCGCCUGGGGAGUACGACCGCAAGGUUGAAACUCAAAGGAAUUGACGGGGGCCCGCACAAGCGGUGGAGCAUGUGGUUUAAUUCGAAGCAACGCGAAGAAUCUUACCAGGUCUUGACAUCCCGGUGCCCGUCCUAGAGAUAGGAUUUUGCUUCGGCACACCGGUGACAGGUGGUGCAUGGUUGUCGUCAGCUCGUGUCGUGAGAUGUUGGGUUAAGUCCCGCAACGAGCGCAACCCUUAUUGUUAGUUGCCAUCAUUUAGUUGGGCACUCUAGCGAGACUGCCAGUAAUAAACCGGAGGAAGGUGGGGAUGACGUCAAAUCAUCAUGCCCCUUAUGACCUGGGCUACACACGUGCUACAAUGGCUGGUACAACGAGUCGCAAGUCGGUGACGGCAAGCUAAUCUCUUAAAGCCAGUCUCAGUUCGGAUUGUAGGCUGCAACUCGCCUACAUGAAGUCGGAAUCGCUAGUAAUCGCGGAUCAGCACGCCGCGGUGAAUACGUUCCCGGGCCUUGUACACACCGCCCGUCACACCACGAGAGUUUGUAACACCCGAAGUCGG